UGGCUCAGUGGUUAAGAGCACUGACUGUUCUUUCAGAGGUCCUGGGUUCAAUUCCCAG
rnacentral:tRNA from 1 species